CGACUCUGGAGAGUGACCGGAAUACCGGUCCACCGACGGGGCAAGCCGGACUUCGGUCCGGUCCAUCUCUCAGGUUUCGGACAGAGGGGG
rnacentral:ncRNA from 1 species